CCCUCCCCUCCCCCACCCUGCCCCUUAGGGUGAGUUGAAAAACUAUUUCAUUGGUCCGCUCCUCUAGAGGUGGCUGGAACCUACUGUCCCAGUAGUCAUGGAUAUGAAACAGAGAUGCCGCUGCGUAGAGUGGAAGCCAGCCUGGUCACGUGGAGAGGACUGACGGGGAACCCGUGUGAGCACCUGAGAGGUUGAACAAGAAGCCAGAAGAGAAAACUGAUCAGGAGCUGCCAAUUUUUUCCCUCUACUAGGACUGGUCCCUGUGAUACACACAGUGUGCGGAACACUCAGAUCCUGUACAGCAAUAUUAGAUUUGCUCAGAACUCCAGUUACAGCCUGUCACUGCAGAGAAGUCGAGGCAAAGCUUAAU
rnacentral:lncRNA from 1 species